UGGGGAAUAUUGCGCAAUGGGCGAAAGUCUGACGCAGCGACACCGCGUGAGGGAUGAAGGUUUUCGGAUCGUAAACCUCUGUCAGAAGGGAAGAAACCGCACUGUGCUAAUCAGCAGUGCCUUUACGGUACCUUCAAAGGAAGCACCGGCUAACUCCGUGCCCGCAGCCGCGGUAAUACGUAGGGUGCAAGAGUUAAUCGGAAUUACUGGGCGUAAAGCGCACGUAGGCUGCUUUGUAAGUCAGGGGUGAAAUCCCACGGCUCAACCGUGGAACUGCCUUUGAGACUGCUUAGCUUGAAUCCGGGAGAGGGUGGCGGAAUUCCAGGUGGAGGAGUGAAAUCCGUAGAUAUCUGGAGGAAAAUCAGUGGCGAAGGCGGCCACCUUGACCGGUAUUGACGCUGAGGUUCGAAAGCGUGGGGAGCAAACAGGAUU
rnacentral:rRNA from 1 species